rnacentral:tRNA from 1 species
GAAGGUAUAGCUCAAUGGUAGAGCACAUGCAUAACAUGCACGAAGUCCUGGGUUCAAUCCCCAGUGCCUCCA